GGUUUUUGUAGUUGAAUACAACAUUGAUUUUUCAGGUCAUAGGUCUUGGUUAGAGCCCAAGUGAAAAUA
rnacentral:tRNA from 1 species